CAUCCCUGUGCUAAAAGAAGAAGAUGCAGGGAGCAGCCGCCAGAAGCCAUGUUCUGAACUCACUCGGUGGUCCUUUCCCAGGACUGGGGCACAGCAUCCUUACCACUCCCCUGACAUCACACUGCAUAGCUGUAGGAGGCGUCUCGGAAAACCAGUUCCUUUCCCUUGGGCUUCCCAGUCCUCAGAAUGGCCUGGCUUCUGACAACUGUAUUCCCAGCACCCAAUAAAUGCAGGCUGUGUGAUGGAGACUGGAG